rnacentral:rRNA from 1 species
UACGGAGGAUGCGAGCGUUAUCCGGAUUUAUUGGGUUUAAAGGGUGCGUAGGCGGACGCUUAAGUCAGCGGUAAAAUUGCGGGGCUCAACCUCGUCGAGCCGUUGAAACUGGGUGCCUUGAGUGGGCGAGAAGUACGCGGAAUGCGUGGUGUAGCGGUGAAAUGCAUAGAGAUCACGCAGAACUCCGAUUGCGAAGGCAGCGUACCGGCGCCCAACUGACGCUGAAGCACGAAGGCGUGGGUAUCGAACAGG